rnacentral:rRNA from 1 species
UACGAAGGGGGCUAGCGUUGCUCGGAAUCACUGGGCGUAAAGCGCACGUAGGCGGAUCUUUAAGUCAGGGGUGAAAUCUCAAGGCUCAACCUUGGAACUGCCUUUGAUACUGGGGAUCUCGAGUCCGGAAGAGGUUGGUGGAACUGCGAGUGUAGAGGUGAAAUUCGUAGAUAUUCGCAAGAACACCAGUGGCGAAGGCGGCCAACUGGUCCGGUACUGACGCUGAGGUGCGAAAGCGUGGGGAGCAAACAGG